rnacentral:rRNA from 1 species
GACGAACGCUGGCGGCGUGCUUAACACAUGCAAGUCGAACGGAAAGGCCCUGCUUGCAGGGUACUCGAGUGGCGAACGGGUGAGUAACACGUGGGUGAUCUGCCCUGCACUUCGGGAUAAGCUUGGUAAACUGGGUCUAAUACCGGAUAGGAGCCAUCUUUAGUGUGGUGGUUGGAAAGUUUUUUCGGUGUAGGAUGAGCUCGCGGCCUAUCAGCUUGUUGGUGGGGUAAUGGCCUACCAAGGCGGCGACGGGUAGCCGGCCUGAGAGGGUGUACGGCCACAUUGGGACUGAGAUACGGCCCAGACUCCUACGGGAGGCAGCAGUGGGGAAUAUUGCACAAUGGGCGCAAGCCUGAGGCAGCGACGCCGCGUGGGGGAUGAAGGCCUUCGGGUUGUAAACUCCUUUCGCUAGGGACGAAGCUUUUUUGUGACGGUACCUAGAUAAGAAGCACCGGCUAACUACGUG